GUGGGGAAUAUUGGGCAAUGGGCGAAAGCCUGACCCAGCAACGCCGCGUGAAGGAAGAAGGCCUUCGGGUUGUAAACUUCUUUUAUGAGGGACGAAGGACGUGACGGUACCUCAUGAAUAAGCCACGGCUAACUACGUGCCAGCAGCCGCGGUAAUACGUAGGUGGCAAGCGUUGUCCGGAUUUACUGGGUGUAAAGGGCGUGUAGGCGGGACUGCAAGUCAGAUGUGAAAUUUCGGGGCUCAACCCCGAAACUGCAUUUGAAACUGUGGUUCUUGAGUAUCGGAGAGGCAGGCGGAAUUCCUAGUGUAGCGGUGAAAUGCGUAGAUAUUAGGAGGAACACCAGUGGCGAAGGCGGCCUGCUGGACGACAACUGACGCUGAGGCGCGAAAGCGUGGGGAGCAAACAGGAUUAGAAACCCGGGUAGUCC
rnacentral:rRNA from 1 species